CCCAACUAUCCCUAUUAAUCAUUACGGCGAUCCUAGAAACCAACAAAAUAGAACCGUACCGUCCUAUUUCAUUAUUCCAUGCUAAUGUAUUCAGACAUAAGCCUGCUUUAAACACUCUAAUUUUUUCAAAGUAACAGUCCUGAUUCCCCAACACACUAACUAAAUAGCAUGAAGGUUCUUCAGAAGGUAGAAACUCGUCUCACCAGUACAGACAAUUAAGCCUGACCAAUGGACGAAUUCCGAAGUUCAACUACGAGCUUUUUAACUGCAACAACUUUAAUAUACGCUAUUGGAGCUGGAAUUACCGCGGCUGCUGGCACCAGACUUGCCCUCCAA
rnacentral:misc_RNA from 1 species